rnacentral:rRNA from 1 species
GACGAACCGUGCGAACGUUGUUCGGAUUCACUGGGCUUAAAGGGCGCGUAGGCGGACGAGCAAGUCCGGGGUGAAAUCUUUCGGCUCAACCGGAAAAGUGCCUUGGAUACUGCUCGCCUUGAGGGAGGUAGGGGCAUGUGGAACUUCCGGUGGAGCGGUGAAAUGCGUUGAUAUCGGAAGGAACGCCGGUGGCGAAAGCGACGUGCUGGCCCUCUUCUGACGCUGAGGCGCGAAAGCCAGGGGAGCAAACGGG